GACGAACGCUGGCGGCGUGCCUAAUACAUGCAAGUCGAGCGGACGGAUGGGAGCUUGCUCCGAGACCGUCAGCGCCGACCGGGUGAGUACAACGUAGGCAACUUGCCUGUAAGUCUGGGAUAACUCCGGGAACCCGGGGCUAAUCCCGGUUAACUCUUUCCCUCACAUGAGGGGAAGGUGAAAGAUGGCAUCUCGGUAUCGCUUACAGAUGGGCUCGGGGUGCAUUAGCUGGAUGGUGGGGUCACGGCUCACCCAGGCGACCAUGCGUAGCCGAACACCGGGGGUGAUCGGCCACACUGGGACGGAGACGCGGCCCAUGCUACUGCGAGACGGAGCAGAAGGGAAUCGUCCGCAGUAGACGAGAGUCUUACGGAACAACGCCACGUGAGAGAUGGAGGUGUUCCGAUCGUAAAAAUCUGUUUUCAGGGAAGAACAAGUUCCGGAGGAACUGCCGGUAGCGUGACGGUACCUGACCAGAAAGCCACGGCUAACUACGUG
rnacentral:rRNA from 1 species